AACGAACGCUGGCGGCAGGCCUAACACAUGCAAGUCGAGCGAAGCCUUCGGGCUUAGCGGCGGACGGGUGAGUAACGCGUGGGAACGUGCCCUUUGGUACGGAAUAGCCCCGGGAAACUGGGAGUAAUACCGUAUGUGGUCGAGAGACGAAAGAUUUAUCGCCAAAGGAUCGGCCCGCGUUGGAUUAGGUAGUUGGUGGGGUAAUGGCCUACCAAGCCGACGAGCCAUAGCUGGUUUGAGAGGAUGAUCAGCCACACUGGGACUGAGACACGGCCCAGACGCCUACGGGAGGCAGCAGUGGGGAAUCUUAGACAAUGGGGGAAACCCUGAUCUAGCCAUGCUGCGUGAUCGAUGAAGGUCUUAGGGUUGUAAAGAUCUUUCAGUGGGGAAGAUAAUGACUGUACCCACAGAAGAAGCCCCGGCUAACUCCGUGCCAGCCGCCGCCGUAAAAC
rnacentral:rRNA from 1 species